CAGACCGGUACCGAACCGGCCAACAGCGCACAGUGUGCGCGCGGGGCAUUUAAAUGCCAUAAGUUUCGGUGCCGGUUCGCACUAGCCAAACAGGACAGAACCAGUCCGGUUCCGUCCGGUUCACUCUUGUACCGGCCGAUGCCGGUUGGUUCAGGCCGGUACGGGCUCCGUACCGCUUGGUUCCAGCCCCAUUUUUCACUGCAUAAUCAGACUAGUCAAAGACCGAACUGGCUGGUACAGGCCGGUUCAGCAUACCAUGCAUCCAGCACAUCUAGUUUCUUGUCACAUUUCCAUGGAAGAUCCGUCAAACUACCCCUAUCUCCAUCAUUGCUUUAGCUCUUUGCAGCAACCAUCGGCAAAUAACUCAUAUGAUUAACUUAUAGUAGGGUAGAAGCAUAAUGUUUACCAUUUGCUACAGAUUUUGUUGAUGAUGUAGUGCUUUUGACUAGAAAAUUAUGGUAUUAGCUGACCAUCUUGCACCAUAAUGCAGAGUAGUACAUGGUAAUAUAAACAAAGCAGAUAAAAUUCCCUUAUUAAAAAUAUUAAGCAAGAGAUACUAAUCUAGAAGAUUUUUCGAUUAAACACAACUAAAACUCCAAAUAUACAUUUAAGCAAGGUUGGCCAAACCGGACUGAACCGUCCGGUUCAGCCCAUACGGAGCCGACUCGGUUCCAUUAAAUUUGGUUCCGGAUCCAAACCGGCCGGAACGAGUUCUGAACCAGCCGGAACCAGCCGAAAAGGGUUGGAACUGGCCGGAACCGGCUAGUUCCUUUCGAAUUUGGUGGGAACCAUCCGAUUCGCACCGAGUCGAUCCAGUUCGAAGCUGGGCCCCCUCCCCCUUUGCUUCUUUUGUUAAAAGGUGUUGGAAAAUCCUUUCCAACAUCUUCUCCUCUGUUUACUUUAGACCUUCCUCCCAAUUUACAAAAUCAUACUGAUUCAGCACGAUUGAAGAAAGACCCAAGCCUAAAUAAGAUGUACUUCCUCUUCCCUAUCUCAUUUUCUCUAUUUUUUUGGGUUCGAAAAAUAGCUCAAAAUUUACAAAAUAAGAAAAAAUCAUGUCAAAAAUUUCCAAUUUAGGCUUGAUAUUACGAUAUGUUGUAGAUCUAUGGAUGAGUUACACGAUGACAUAAAAAAUUUAUUUUUUAUUAUAU
rnacentral:lncRNA from 1 species